CUUUGAUAUGCAAUUGGAGGAUGAUGUACUUUUAGUAGGGAACAAUGAUGGGGUUUUGACAGAUAAAGAUGAAAGUAAGAGUUCUGAAGAGGAUACCACCAUGAAGUUCAAUGCUAGUGAUCCUUUGAAGCAUCUGGCUAAUAGUACAUCUUGUGAAGUUAAAGCUACUGAUGAAGAAGCAAUUCUGUUUCUGAAUAAUUCUCAUUUGCCAAUGGAAUCUUCCAGACUCUCGUGGAAAAAUGACUGCGACUUAUCAAAUGGGAACUCAAAUGAGUUUCUAAAGAAGGUUGUCACCAUGGAGCCUAACACUGCGG
rnacentral:misc_RNA from 1 species